rnacentral:pre_miRNA from 1 species
AAUGCAAUUGCUGGGUCAUACAGUAAGUUAUAUAUUUAACUUUCUAAGAAACUGACAAACUAUUUUCCAAAGUGGCUGUAUCAUUUGUAUUCUCACCAGCAGU